GACGAACGCUGGCGGCGUGCUUAACACAUGCAAGUCGAACGGAAAGGCCCUGCUUGCAGGGUGCUCGAGUGGCGAACGGGUGAGUAACACGUGGGUGAUCUGCCCCUUACUUUGGGAUAAGCCUGGGAAACUGGGUCUAAUACUGGAUAGGACCAUGCUGUAGGUGGUGUGGUGGAAAGAUUAGUUUCGGUAAGGGAUGAGCUCGCGGCCUAUCAGCUUGUUGGUGGGGUAAUGGCCUACCAAGGCGUCGACGGGUAGCCGGCCUGAGAGGGUGGACGGCCACAUUGGGACUGCGAUACGGCCCAGAAUCCUACGGGAGGCAGCAGUGGGGAAUAUUGCACAAUGGGCGCAAGCCGGAUGCAGCGACGCCGCGUGGGGGAUGACGGCCUUCGGGUUGUAAACUCCUUUCAGCCAUGACGAAGCCCUUGUGGUGACGGUAGUGGUAGAAGAAGCACCGGCUAACUACGUG
rnacentral:rRNA from 1 species